rnacentral:rRNA from 1 species
CAAGGAUUNNACNGGUANCCGGCNUGAGAGGGUGGNCGGUCACACUGNGACUGAGAUACGGCCCAGACUCNUACGNGAGGCAGCAGUGGGGAAUAUUGCACAAUGGGNGCAAGCCUGAUGCAGCGACGCCGCGUGAGGGAUGAAGGCCUUCGGGUUGUAAACCUCUUUCGUCAGGGAACAAGGCACUACGUUUUGGUGGUGUUGAGGGUACCUGGAUAAGAAGCGCCGGCUAACUACGUGCCAGCAGCCGCGGUAAUACGUAGGGCGCAAGCGUUGUCCGGAAUUAUUGGGCGUAAAGAGCUCGUAGGCGGCUGGUCGCGUCUGUCGUGAAAACUUCCGGCUCAACCGGGGGCUUGCGGUGGGUACGGGCCGGCUAGAGUGCGGUAGGGGUAACUGGAACUCCUGGUGUAGCGGUGGAAUGCGCAGAUAUCAGGAAGAACACCGAUGGCGAAGGCAGGUUACUGGGCCGUUACUGACGCUGAGGAGCGAAAGCGUGGGGAGCGAACAGG